CUCUUUGCUUUCAUUGAAGCACAGGCUAAACGUAACGCCUCCGGCAUGACUUGAAAUACACCUUCAAGAAGACAGGAACUUCAGAGAGUUGGGACGUUACUGCACAAUAACACAUUGUGGU